CGACUUUUCAGAGAGAAUGUGAAUACAUUUGGUAUGUACUAAAAAGCUGGAAGCCCCUAAGUAAACGCAGUAUCCAUAGGAAGGGAGUUUCUUGAAGAGUCACCUGCUAAACUCCACUAGCGUCAUCUUUGCAAUUGCUAUGAGAGUGACUACCCAACAAUGUUGGUGUAAUGGAAGACAUUACAGUCUCAAGGAAUAAUUGGUUGAGAGUCAUGAAAGUAAGGAUGCUCUUAGGGUCAGCUGGAUAUGAGUCUAGUCACUUCAAGUAUCACUCUACCUGGGACCUGUGUGAAGGCGCUGAAUGUACCUAAGGCAGAGUCUUUUCAAAAUGAAUGACAGGAGACAAGAGGCCAUGUUAAACCACACAGACACACAAAAAACCUCUUCUUGGAUGUGGUUUAUGUUGUCCCUAUGAAUCAAAGGCCCAAACCAAUGGUCAGAGGGAAUAUACUUUAUCCACAGGGAAGUCACAGAAAGAGAGGGAAUGGAAGGAAGACCUGUGACCUGGCAUACUUCAAUGCACAAAUCAAAUUACCUGGAUAAAUGGGAAAUAAUACUCCCAGGGAAAACAGAUUCUUUCUCAAGAGGGAGCAAGUGGAUAACUGCUUUAGAAUACAAAGGAGAGGAGGAUGGACUACAUGUUAAUUGCUGCAACAAGCUAAUUAUGCCAAGUGCUUGUACACAAGCAAAAGUUAUCUGCUAUCCUCUAUCCCUCUUGUGUUCAUCUGUCUUUCCUUAUCUGUGUUCUUUUUUUUUUCCCCUCUCGCCAUUUGGUGGCAUAUUCAUUUUUCAAUCACUUUACCUUGGCAUCACUAACAAACCUUACUCUUUUUAUUUUCUCCCACAUCCAGGCUGUUCAUGCAACACAUUUCAAAAUUUUGUUAUUUCUUCCUGUUCCUGUCUUUAA
rnacentral:lncRNA from 12 species